rnacentral:lncRNA from 1 species
UAAAACAUAAAUGAUAAUAUAAAUGACCAUUAAGUACAAAAUCAUAUCUUAGUAAUAUGAUAUGCGUCAGUCAAGAUUGGCUUCUAGGACAUACAUCCAACAAUCACAUGGGAGGAAGGUGAGAUUCGGGUGUUGGAGGCAUGGUUGAGCCUUAACAGAGAGGCUGAACCUUCCUGUCCUAGGAGUCAGAGUGGGUGAACUGGCCAUCGGAGGAGAGGACCAUGCCCUCCAUAAAGUGGGAAUGGUCGGAUUUGGGAGAGAUCGGCGAGACGGAAGGUGGGGCAUAAUUGGAGUAACUUCGGGUGCCUAAUCUUAGUGCCAGGAUGGGUGUAGUAGCUUCGAUCAGGAGGAGCAUGGGGUUUGUGUGAUAGCUUUGCUGAUUCAUGGGGGUGA